AGUUACUUCCGGGUAUACCUGAGCAGGUGAACAACAGAGCAGAGGAGCCGUUUUGGGCCGCAGGAUGAAGCAGAGACAAAGAGGACAAAUGCUGAGGAUGGGGGAUUACAUGAGGACUCAGCUGGUGAGUGCCAUCCAGCUGCAGGAGGUGGAGCUGCAGGAGAAACCUGCAGACAAACAGCAGAGCGGCAAAAACAACGGUCUCCGGAAAUCAUUGAAAAAUACCAGUUUAAUAAUAUAUAUAUAUAAUAAGGCGGUCUCUGGUGUUACUGAGCGGCUCUAAAGAUUAUUUCAUUAUUCACGUGUUUAGAAUCAUAAAUAAAGAGCUCAGCAGGUUGUUUCCAUCUUUAACUGUUUUGACUCUAAAACAUGAAACAAAAGUUGAAUAUUUGAAUAAAUAAAUCCUGAUAUGAAAUCUGGAUUUGAAGCUGUGCAGCUGCAGCGAGUCACAGUGAGUCAC